CGGCCGCGAAUUUCGCCCUUUAGAGUUUGAUCCUGGCUCAGAACGAACGCUGGCGGCGUGCCUAACACAUGCAAGUCGAACGAGAAUUUUCCCUUCGGGGAAAUAGUAAAGUGGCGCAAGGGUGAGUAACACGUGAAUAAUCUGCCUACGAAUUCGGGAUAACGCGGCGAAAGCUGUGCUAAUACCGGAUAAGACCACGUUUCUUAUGUGAUGUGGCCAAAGGAGUCUCAAACUCCGUUUGUAGAUGAGUUCGCGGACCAUUAGCUUGUUGGCGGGAUAACAGCCCACCAAGGCUACGAUGGUUAGCCGGCCUGAGAGGGUGAUCGGCCACACUGGAACUGAGACACGGUCCAGACUCCUACGGGAGGCAGCAGUGGGGAAUAUUGCGCAAUGGGCGAAAGCCUGACGCAGCAACGCCGCGUGAGGGAUGAAGGCCUUUGGGUUGUAAACCUCUGUCAAAUGGGAAGAAUUCUGACGGUACCAUUAAAGGAAGCCCCGGCUAACUCCGUGCCAGCAGCCGCGGUAAUACGGAGGGGGCAAGCGUUGUUCGGAAUCAUUGGGCGUAAAGAGUAUGUAGGCGGCUAUUUAAGUCAGACGUGUAAGCCCACGGCUCAACCGUGGAAUUGCGUUUGAAACUAUUUAGCUUGAGUUCAGGAGAGGAAGGCGGAAUUCCCAGUGUAGCGGUGAAAUGCAUUGAUAUUGGGAAGAACACCGGUGGCGAAAGGCGGCCUUCUGG
rnacentral:rRNA from 1 species